UACGGAGGGGGCUAGCGUUGUUCGGAAUUACUGGGCGUAAAGCGCACGUAGGCGGCUUUGCAAGUUAGAGGUGAAAGCCCGGGGCUCAACUCCGGAAUUGCCUUUAAAACUGCAUCGCUAGAAUUGUGGAGAGGUAAGUGGAAUUCCGAGUGUAGAGGUGAAAUUCGUAGAUAUUCGGAAGAACACAGUGGCGAAGGCGACUUACUGGACACAUAUUGACGCUGAGGUGCGAAAGCGUGGGGAGCAAACAGG
rnacentral:rRNA from 1 species